rnacentral:misc_RNA from 1 species
UGGAGAUGUCUAGGAGAUGCAAGGAAAAGCAAUCCUCUGAGAGGAGAGUUAUCGCAGGAGAAGCAAAGACGAUGAUCCAUGAUAGGAUUCCUACAGAGGAAGUGAUGACGCUAGCUGCCGUUGCAAUCAGCUUAAAUGUGCGGCCGAGAUCAUCCGAUAUGCCACUGCAUAUGCAAGAACGUGCUUUUCGCUAUGCAAGAUCUUUUCUUGACUCAGCUCCAAAACACCGCCCCAAUCCAACCCACCUUGCUCGAGCCCUUAAAAAGGUCCGUCGUCCCUCUCUCUAUCUAUCUCUCCCCUCCUCUGUGGGCUCUGACUUUGAACUGCUUACAGGAGUUUGACUCGGCCUACGGGCUAGCAUGGCACUGUGUAGUGGGGACGAGUUUCGGAUCGUUUGUGACUCACUCAGCGGGUGGGUUCGUGUACUUCUGUAUAGAGCCGCUGUCUAUUCUUCUGUUCAAAACAGAGGUGCAGUUGGUGACGGAAUUGGAGGCUUGAAUGGAUUGUUGACAAAUGAGUCGUCAACAAAUGAGAGCAGUACACCUGACCUAAAUACUAUGUACGCGAGUGUAGGGUGUUUAAAAAAUAUGUAAUUCGUUUAUUUAUUAAAUAUAAUAUUUUAUAACAUACGGUGUAAGAUGAUUUUUUAUUAUUUAAUAAUAAUUCGAGGAUUAUAG